rnacentral:rRNA from 1 species
UACAGAGGGUGCAAGCGUUGUUCGGAAUUAUUGGGCGUAAAGGGAGUGUAGGCGGCUAGGAAAGUCUUCUGUGAAAUCUACGGGCUCAGCCUGUAACGUGCAGAGGAAACUAUCUGGCUAGAGUGUCGGAGAGGAUAGGGGAAUACCCGGUGUAGAGGUGAAAUUCGUAGAGAUCGGGUGGAACAUCAGUGGCGAAGGCGCCUGUCUGGCUGACAACUGACGCUGAGACUCGAAAGCAUGGGGAGCAAACAGG